rnacentral:rRNA from 1 species
ACGAACGCUGGCGGCGUGCUUAACCCAUGCAAGUCGAACGGAAAGGCCCUGCUUUUGUGGGGUGCUCGAGUGGCGAACGGGUGAGUAACACGUGAGUAACCUGCCCUUGACUUUGGGAUAACUUCAGGAAACUGGGGCUAAUACCGGAUAGGAGCUCCUGCUGCAUGGUGGGGGUUGGAAAGUUUCGGCGGUUGGGGAUGGACUCGCGGCUUAUCAGCUUGUUGGUGGGGUAGUGGCUUACCAAGGCUUUGACGGGUAGCCGGCCUGAGAGGGUGACCGGCCACAUUGGGACUGAGAUACGGCCCAGACUCCUACGGGAGGCAGCAGUGGGGAAUAUUGCACAAUGGGCGGAAGCCUGAUGCAGCAACGCCGCGUGCGGGAUGACGGCCUUCGGGUUGUAAACCGCUUUCGCCUGUGACGAAGCGUGAGUGACGGGAAUGGGUAAAGAAGCACCGGCUAACUACGU